rnacentral:rRNA from 1 species
UAGUCCACGCCGUAAACGAUGGAUACUAGUUGUUGGGAUUUAUCUCAGUGACUAAGCGAAAGUGAUAAGUAUCCCACCUGGGGAGUACGUUCGCAAGAAUGAAACUCAAAGGAAUUGACGGGGGCCCGCACAAGCGGUGGAGCAUGUGGUUUAAUUCGAUGAUACGCGAGGAACCUUACCAGGGCUUAAAUGUAAGUUGCAUGAUCUAGAGAUAGGUCUUUCUUCGGACUACUUACAAGGUGCUGCAUGGUUGUCGUCAGCUCGUGCCGUGAGGUGUCAGGUUAAGUCCUAUAACGAGCCCCGCAACCCCUGUUGUUAGUUGCCAGCGAGUCAAGUCGGGAGCUCUAACAAGACUGCCAGUGCAAACUGUGAGGAAGGUGGGGAUGAUGUCAAAUCAUCACGGCCCUUACGUCCUGGGCUACACACGUGCUACAAUGGUAGGUACAGAGAGCAGCCACAACGCGAGUUGGAGCGAAUCUAUAAAACCUAUCACAGUUCGGAUC